rnacentral:misc_RNA from 1 species
GAUGAAGAACGUAGCGAAAUGCGAUAAGUAAUGCGAAUUGCAGAAUUCCGUGAGUCAUCGAAUCUUUGAACGCACAUUGCGCCCUCUGGUAUUCCGGAGGGCAUGCCUGUCUGAGCGUCAUUGUCAACCCUCAAGCUCAGCCUGCUGUUGGGUCCCCGUCGUUGCUUUAACGGCGGACCCGAAAGGUAAUGGCAGAGUCCGUGAGACCCUAGACGCAGCGAGCUUCUAGCACGCGUCUGGACGUUUUUCGGGCUCGGUCUUAACUAGAUGAUAACUUCCGAUUGACCUCAGAUCAGGUAGGGAUACCCGCUGAACUUAAGCAUAUCAAUAAGCGGAGGA